AUUGAACGCUGGCGGCAGGCCUAACACAUGCAAGUCGAACGAGUGGCGGACGGGUGAGUAAUGUCUGGGAAACUGCCUGAUGGAGGGGGAUAACUACUGGAAACGGUAGCUAAUACCGCAUACCAUCAGAUGUGCCCAGAUGGGAUGAGCUAGUUGGUGGGGUAACGGCUCACCAAGGCGACGAUCCAUAGCUGGUCUGAGAGGAUGACCACGCACACUGUAACGGAGCCACGGUCCAGACGCCUACGGGGGCCAGCAGUGGGGAAUAUGGCACAAUGGGCGCAGUCCUGAUGCAGCCAUGCCGAGUGUAUGAAGAAGGCCUUCGGGUUGUAAAGUACUUUCAGCGGGGAGGCGUUACCCGCAGAAGAAGCACCGGCUAACUCCGUGCCAGCAGCCGCGGUAAUUC
rnacentral:rRNA from 1 species